UACGAAGGGUGCAAGCGUUAAUCGGAAUUACUGGGCGUAAAGCGUGCGUAGACGGUCAUGUAAGUCGGGUGUGAAAGCCCCGGGCUCAACCUGGGAAUUGCAUUCGAGACUGCAUGGCUAGGGUGCGGAAGAGGGAAGCGGAAUUUCCGGUGUAGCGGUGAAAUGCGUAGAUAUCGGAAGGAACACCAGUGGCGAAAGCGGCUUCCUGGUCCAGCACCGACGUUCAGGCACGAAAGCGUGGGGAGCAAACAGG
rnacentral:rRNA from 1 species